GUGCUCUCUUCGGCAGCACAUACACUAAAAUUGGAAUGAUACCAAGAAGAUUAACAUGACUCCUGUGCAAGGAUAAUAUACAAAUUCAGGAAGUGUUCCACAAAAAA
rnacentral:snRNA from 1 species